UACGUAGGGUGCAAGCGUUGUCCGGAAUUAUUGGGCGUAAAGCGCGCGCAGGCGGUCCUUUAAGUCUGAUGUGAAAGCCCACGGCUCAACCGUGGAGGGUCAUUGGAAACUGGGGGACUUGAGUGCAGAAGAGGAAAGCGGAAUUCCACGUGUAGCGGUGAAAUGCGUAGAGAUGUGGAGGAACACCAGUGGCGAAGGCGGUUUUCUGGUCUGUAACUGACGCUGAGGCGCGAAAGCGUGGGGAGCAAACAGG
rnacentral:rRNA from 1 species